rnacentral:tRNA from 1 species
GGGGCUGUGGCUCCAUGACAGAACAUCUGCUUGGCAUGCAGAAGGUCUGAAGUUCAAUCCUUGGCAUCUUCA